AUUCCAUGAUGGGGACAUUCUAGGAUGUAGUCUUGAAAGCGCUCCCAUGCUUCUGGAACAGAUUCAUCAUUUUGUUGCUGAAAACUUGUAAUCCCCCACGGAGAGC
rnacentral:snoRNA from 1 species